rnacentral:rRNA from 1 species
UACGUAGGGGGCUAGCGUUGUCCGGAAUCAUUGGGCGUAAAGAGCUCGUAGGCGGCCUGUUGCGUCCGCUGUGAAAGCCCGGGGCUUAACCCCGGGUCUGCAGUGGAUACGGGCAGGCUAGAGGUAGGUAGGGGAGAAUGGAAUUCCCGGUGUAGCGGUGAAAUGCGCAGAUAUCGGGAGGAACACCGGUGGCGAAGGCGGUUCUCUGGGCCUUACCUGACGCUGAGGAGCGAAAGCGUGGGGAGCGAACAGG